rnacentral:lncRNA from 1 species
GGAGACCAGAGCCCGGCUCCACUGAAGAAACCCGCCGGCUGCUGGGGCAGGGCGGCGAAAGGUCAGUCGGCCGAGAGGAGUCCGUGGAGCCACCGUUUCAUAGCCUCAGGGAAAGGAUCGGGCGUGCUCACGAGCCCUCUAACCCAUGGCUUAAACACCCGCUUCCUAAGCCUGGUUCCUGAAUAUAUCACAUGUGGUGAUAAACAUGAAGAUGUAUGAAAAAUUGUGUUCGUUGAGAGAAAAUGGAAGGCUUUUCAUUCUACUUCCACAUUUUCAUUCCAGCAGCUUUUCUGUUUUGGAAGAUGAGUACUGAAUCUUGCAAUGAAAUUUUUUUAACUUAAACAAGGUUCUUAUGCCUUUGUUUGAAAAACAUGGUUCCCUGUGAAAUUUUACAUGUAGAAGAAAGCUUCACACUACGAGAGCUCUCAGGAUAUAAUUAUUUCAGACAGAUACUGGGAACAUAAGAUGGCUUAUCAAUCUAAGAUGGCCUUCCUGUCCUUCGGAUUGAACUGAAACCAUCCCUGAUUCCAGGGAUAGGUAGAUGAUCCAGGUUUGGACAAUCAAAAUAUUGAACCACCCUGGACCUACAAGUGUUUCUGGGAUGGGAACAUGCAAACGUUGGUCCAAAUUGUUGUUCUAGGCAGCCCAGUACAUUUCUCCAAUGCCUGAUGGAAUGAUAGGGUAUGCAUAAAUGUUCAUGUGGGCUCUGGAGUAUACCAGGAACUGAAGUAAGGUACAUGGACGUCUUGAAUAUUGUAACUGAGAUGGGCAAGCCUACACCUUUGCAAAUAAAGGAGGAUUGGGAAAGAUUAAGAUCCUGUUAAACGUCAGUGUUACUAUUUAGCCUUUGAUAUCUCCAGUAAAGGCAACUUCUUUCUGGACCCAGAAAUAAAGCUUUACAUUAGCAGCUUCCAUAACACCAAUAACAUGAAUGACCAUCUACUGAGCAAUUGCAGUGCACCAGGAUUAUGGCUUAUGAGCACUUUAUGUUUAUUAUCUCACAACUCACUGAGUUAGAUACUCUCCACAACCCAGUGAGCCUCUCAAGCACUGUGAAAAAUCACUUUCUCUUGUUGUAUUCUUGGAGCCCCUGCUAAUUCAUUAUUGAAAAAUACCUGCUGCCUGCAUUUGGCCUUAUGUUGUCAUUUACUUGGUACUUCCUAAGCGUGGCUACUCCAAUGAAGCUUUAGUAUAUGUACUGAAAGAAGAUCCUCUCAUACUGCCACAGCCAAGAGAUAAGGUUGUAAAUCUUUAUUGGGAGAAGCCGUCAAGGACAGUUCUGUGAAAUGAAAGGAUCUCUGGAUCACCACAAAGUCUGGCUCAGUGACUAUGGCUUUGCAAACACUAAACAUUCCUGUCUCAAGUCCUGUAGAUGGCUUGAAAUAGUAUACAUAAGCAUGCCUUAUAAACAUCUUCAGUCUUUAUCAACUCUUUGGAGAUUCAGCCAUUCUUUUUUGUACUUUAGGGAAUUAAAUCAUUUUAUAAUGUAUAAAUCUGAGCAUGGCCGAUGGCA